rnacentral:misc_RNA from 1 species
ACAUAAAGUUUCGGGGGGGCGCCCCCCCGGCCUCCGGGCCGGGGGGGGCCGCUCUGUCUGAACCCGUGCCUACCUUACCCGUUGCUUCCGCGGGGCGGGCGCCCGCCGCCCCGCCGCCUGGGGUCCCCCUAGGCGGUGCGCCCCCGCGAGAGGCCCCUGACCCGAACCGUCCCACCGUGCCCCUCUGAGCGGCUGACGCAACGUCA